rnacentral:rRNA from 1 species
UACGUAGGGGGCAAGCGUUGUCCGGAAUCAUUGGGCGUAAAGAGCUCGUAGGCGGCUUGUCGCGUCGACUGUGAAAUCCCGCGGCUCAACUGCGGGUCUGCAGUCGAUACGGGCAGGCUAGAGUUCGGUAGGGGAGACUGGAAUUCCUGGUGUAGCGGUGAAAUGCGCAGAUAUCAGGAGGAACACCGAUGGCGAAGGCAGGUCUCUGGGCAUUAACUGACGCUGAGGAGCGAAAGCAUGGGGAGCGAACGGG